rnacentral:rRNA from 1 species
CACUCCUACGGGGGGCAGCAGUGAGGAAUAUCGGUCAAUGGGCGAGAGCCUGAACCAGCCAAGUCGCGUGAGGGAAGACGGUCCUAUGGAUUGUAAACCUCUUUUGCCGGGGAGCAAAAAGCGGUACGUGUACCGCAUCGAGAGUACCCGGAGAAAAAGCAUCGGCUAACUCCGUGCCAGCAGCCGCGGUAAUACGGAGGAUGCGAGCGUUAUCCGGAUUUACUGGGUUUAAAGGGUGCGUAGGCGGGAUGCCAAGUCAGCGGUAA